UUUUUGUGCUCGUUAAUCUGAUACGUAAAAGCAUCUAUAUAACACGCCUUGAAUCUGUGUAAUCCUCCAAGGUGUUAUGCUUUGAAGUGUUUCAUUAGAUCUUCUGGUGUUGAUGGGACCUGUUAUUAGUAAGGAUCUAUAUAUUUUGUCCUCUAUUUCCCAUUGUAUCUAUGUAAAAGCAUCUAUAUAACACGCCUUGAAUCUGUGUAAUCCUCCAAGGUGUUAUGCUUUGAAGUGUUUCAUUAGAUCUUCUGGUGUAGAUGGGACCUGUUAUUAGUAAGGAUCUAUAUAUUUUGUCCUCUAUUUCCCAUUGUAUCUAUGUAAAAGCAUCUAUAUAACACGCCUUGAAUCUGUGUAAUCCUCCAAGGUGUUAUGCUUUGAAGUGUUUCAUUAGAUCUUCUGGUGUUGAUGGGACCUGUUAUUAGUAAGGAUCUAUAUAUUUUGUCCUCUAUUUCCCAUUGUAUCUAUGUAAAAGCCUCUACGCAACAGGCCUCGUAGAUUUCAGUAUCCUCGCCUUUCUUACUUAACCCCCAAAGGACGGCUGGCAGGAAUUCACACAUGGACAGGGAAAGGUGGGGUGCAGGAAUUCCCGUCACCUGCUUUUCCGCCAAAAUUUGUACUUCCUAACAUGAUAUCUCCGCUGUGCUGCAACUGAGGAACUUCUCGUAGAAAAUCGCCCUCCAGCCCGUCCUUUAGGGUUUAAUCUUGUAAGGCUUUGGUAUAGGUUAUGUUGGUAGUGUUGCCAUGGGUAGUGUUAUGAGCCUGGUGGUAGUUUGACAAGGCUUUGGUAGAGGUUAUGUUGGUAGUGUUGCCAUGGGUAGUGUUUUGAGCCUGGUGGUAGUUUGACAAGGCUUUGGUAGAGGUUGUGUUGGUAGUGUUGCCAUGGGUAGUGUUUUGAGCCUGGUGGUAGUAUGACAAGGCUUUGGUAGAGGUUGUGUUGGUAGUGUUGCCAUGGGUAGUGUUAUGAGCCUGGUGGUAGUGUGACAAGGCUUUGGUAGAUGUUAUGAAAUUUGAGAUAGUUUGAUCAGGCUAAAUUUGUAGAGGCCAUGGGUAUCAAUGCCUCUCUGACGGACCCUGAACUGAAUUAGGAAAAGACAGCUUAGGAAAAAAGUGAAAAAAUAUCUAUUAUUCUGAAAUGAAGAAAAUAGCAGAUGAUGAGAAAAAGAGGUCCACUAUUUUUAUUAUUUACUGUUAUUUAUUACUACAUUUAUUUAUUAUUGUUAUUAUUAUCAUUAUUCG